GAUGAACGCUGGCGGCGUGCCUAAUACAUGCAAGUCGAGCGAACAGACGAGGAGUUUGCUCCUCUGACGUUAGCGGAGGACGGGUGAGUAACACGUGGAAAACCCACUUAUAAGACUGGGAUAAUUUCGGGAAACCGGAGCUAAUACCGGAUAAUAUAUUGAACCGCAUGGUUCAAUAGUGAAAGACGGCUUUGCUGUCACUUAUAGCUGGAUCCGCGCCGCAUUAGCUAGUUGGUAAGGUAACGGCCUACCAAGGCAACGAUGCGUAGCCGACCUGAGAGGGUGGUCGGCCGCACUGGAACGGAGACACGGUCCAGACUCCUACGGGAGGCAGCAGUAGGGAAUCUGCCGCAAUGGGCGGAAGCUUGACGGAGCAACGCCGCGUGAGUGAUGAAGGUCUUCGGAUCGUAAAACUCUGUUAUUAGGGAAGAACAAAUGUGUACGUAACUAUGCACGUCUUGACGGUACCUAAUCAGAAAGCCACGGCUAACUACGUG
rnacentral:rRNA from 1 species